CGUACAUACAUCUCUCUGAUGCAGUCGAGCGGAACGACAACAUUGACCCUUCGGGUGAUUUGUUGGGCGUCGAGCGGCGGACGGGUGAGUAAUGCCUGGGAAAUUGCCCUGAUGUGGGGGAUAACCAUUGGAAACGAUGGCUAAUACCGCAUAAUGUCUACGGACCAAAGAGGGGGACCUUCGGGCCUCUCGCUUCAGGAUAUGCCCAGGUGGGAUUAGCUAGUUGGUGAGGUAAUGGCUCACCAAGGCGACGAUCCCUAGCUGGUCUGAGAGGAUGAUCAGCCACACUGGAACUGAGACACGGUCCAGACUCCUACGGGAGGCAGCAGUGGGGAAUAUUGCACAAUGGGCGCAAGCCUGAUGCAGCCAUGCCGCGUGUAUGAAGAAGGCCUUCGGGUUGUAAAGUACUUUCAGUCGUGAGGAAGGCGUUGAAGUUAAUAGCUUCAUCGUUUGACGUUAGCGACAGAAGAAGCACCGGCUAACUCCGUGCCAGCAGCCGCGGUAAUACGGAGGGUGCGAGCGUUAAUCGGAAUUACUGGGCGUAAAGCGCAUGCAGGUGGUUUGUUAAGUCAGAUGUGAAAGCCCGGGGCUCAACCUCGGAACCGCAUUUGAAACUGGCAGGCUAGAGUACUGUAGAGGGGGGUAGAAUUUCAGGUGUAGCGGUG
rnacentral:rRNA from 1 species